rnacentral:pre_miRNA from 1 species
GUUGUACUCCCUCCGUCCGAAAAUACUUGUCAUCAAAAUGGACAAAAAGGGAUGUAUCUAGAACUAAAAUACGUCUAGAUACAUCCCCUUUUAUUCAUUUUGAUGACAAGUAUUUCCGGGCGGAGGGAGUAUUAU